GAUGAACGCUAGCGGCAGGCCUAACACAUGCAAGUCGAGGGGCAGCACGUCUUCGGAUGGUGGCGACCGGCGCACGGGUGCGUAACGCGUAUGCAACCUACCUCUUACAGUGGGAUAGCCCCAGAGAAAUUUUGGAUUAAUACCGCAUAGUAUACAGAUUCAGCAUUGGGACUGUAUUAAACAUUUAUGGGUAAGAGAUGGGCAUGCGUUCUAUUAGUUAGUUGGAGUGGUAACGGCACCCCAAGACAGCGAUAGAUACGGGGCCCUGAGAGGGGGAUCCCCCACACUGGUACUGAGACACGGACCAGACUUCCACGGGAGCAGCAGUGAGGAAUA
rnacentral:rRNA from 1 species